rnacentral:rRNA from 1 species
CAGCAGCCGCGGGAAUACGAAGGGUGCAAGCGUUAAUCGGAAUUACUGGGCGUAAAGCGUGCGUAGGCGGUUUGUUAAGUCUGUUGUGAAAUCCCCGGGCUCAACCUGGGAAUGGCAAUGGAUACUGGCAAGCUAGAGUGUGUCAGAGGAUGGUGGAAUUCCCGGUGUAGCGGUGAAAUGCGUAGAGGUCGGGAGGAACAUCAGUGGCGAAGGCGGCCAUCUGGGACAACACUGACGCUGAGGCACGAAAGCGUGGGGAGCAAACAGGAUUAGAUACCCCGGUAGUCCCUGUCUCUUAUAC